rnacentral:lncRNA from 1 species
AUACAAAUAAAGAUUCUUGGUCUUCGUGCAUUGUGAAGCACAGGCAAUUCUCAAUAAGGGCCAAAUGGAAAAUUCAUUUUCCUUUUUCAGAAUUGGCAAUGAUGAAAACAAGGCUGGAACAUGACCUCGAGGCUCGCUUAAGCAAAGGGAUCCAUGCACUCGAACAUUGUUUUCUGCUCCAUUAACGCUUUAACACGAAAAUCUCUGAUGUUCAACUCCAUCCUGUUUCAUCCCUGUGCCAACUCCCUUCUGUAAUGGCACAUUCCAAGAAGUAUUCUGAGGAGGGAAUGCUGCCAUUCAGGCUGCAACAUAAGUGAUAUUUCCCUCCGAAGAAACAGAAUUUGAGCUACACAAUACUCUUUAACACAGAAAACAAACUUUCAGAAAGAUCUUCUACAAAAAUAUAAAAGCAGAAUGGGCAAAAUUAUUCCAGUGAGGAUUAGAAAAAAAAUCUACAUAACCAUCCAUAAGGUGUCUGAACAACUGGGGUUUGUGCAACGUUCUGAGAAGAGGGGCACAGAAUAUUUGGGGUUUUCUGCUCAAAUCAUUUAAUACGGAGAUGCCAGUUCUUGAGAUAAACAGUAAAAGAGGAGAUAAAGAUAAGAAGGGAGACUACAAGAUGCAGCUGAAGAAAGAGAAAAGUAAUAACUAAUCUCUCCUUCCCCAGUCGCAACAAAUGGGAUCAUCUGACCAGGCCUGCAAUUUAAUUCAGUACCUGUCCUUAUGGAGAAAAGUGAAAUUCCC